rnacentral:rRNA from 1 species
GAUGAACGCUGGCGGCGUGCCUAAUACAUGCAAGUCGAGCGAACAGACGAGGAGCUUGCUCCUCUGACGUUAGCGGCGGACGGGUGAGUAACACGUGGAUAACCUACCUAUAAGACUGGGAUAACUUCGGGAAACCGGAGCUAAUACCGGAUAAUAUAUUGAACCGCAUGGUUCAAUAGUGAAAGACGGUUUUGCUGUCACUUAUAGAUGGAUCCGCGCCGCAUUAGCUAGUUGGUAAGGUAACGGCUUACCAAGGCAACGAUGCGUAGCCGACCUGAGAGGGUGAUCGGCCACACUGGAACUGAGACACGGUCCAGACUCCUACGGGAGGCAGCAGUAGGGAAUCUUGCGCAAUGGGCGAAAGCCUGACGGAGCAACGCCGCGUGAGUGAUGAAGGUCUUCGGAUCGUAAAGCUCUGUUAUUAGGGAAGAACAAAUGUGUAAGUAUCUAUGCACGUCUUGACGGUACCUAAUCAGAAAGCCACGGCUAACUACGUG